rnacentral:rRNA from 2 species
UUUGACCUCAAAUCAGGUAGGAUUACCCGCUGAACUUAAGCAUAUCAAUAAGCGGAGG